rnacentral:rRNA from 1 species
GACGAACGCUGGCGGCGUGCCUAAUACAUGCAAGUCGAACGCAGUUGGGACGGGUGAGUAACACGUGGGUAACCUCCCAUCAGAGGGGAUAACACUUGGAAACAGGUGCUAAACCGAUACUGAUGGAUGGACCCGCGGUGCCUUGGCUAGUUGGUGAGGUAACGGCUGACCAAGGCCACGAUGCAUAGCAGACAUGAGAGGUUGAUCGGCCGCACUGGGACUGAGACAGAGCCCAGACUCAUACGGAAGGCAGACGAAGGGAAUGUUCGGCAAUGGACGAAAGUCUAACCGAGCAACGCGGGGUGAGUAAAGACGGUUAACGGAUCGUAAAACACUGAUGUUAGAGAAGCGGUAUCUAUCCAGAAAGCCACGGCUAACUACGUGCCAGCAGCCGCGGUAAUAC